rnacentral:lncRNA from 1 species
AUAUUCUGUUUUGCUGAUAUAACUCGACCAAUUUUCUCCGGCAAAAACAAGUGUAAGAAAAGGACUCUUGAUACUUUCUUGAUUAUAAACUUGAUUAUAAACUUCCGGAGGUUUUGUUUUCUAAAGUGUUGUAAAUCCUUACGUCUAGGAUUCAAGGAAAAACUAGAGUAGUGGAAGGGAAUGAGUAAAUCUUGAUAUGGUAGCCCCUCCCCUACUAAUAGAGGGGCUACUAUCGGAGUCUUGAAUUAGAUUGGAUAACGGGAGUGUUUAAUUAACUAAUGAAUGGUUGUAGAAGGGUUGGAAGAUACUUUGUAUACAGACUGAUGAAAGUCUCUGAGUGUUCAGGCAUCCAAUCAAUAUUAGAUUGGAUGGAUAAUUGGCUUUUACUUAAUAAGGGACACCAAAAGAAAGAAGAAGUCUUAUUAUUGCUACAUGUGAGUAACAUUCUUUUGAUACUUCCAAAAGUGUUACUGCGUAUUUUGCUUGUGCUUAAUGGUUCUCGAUUUUACUAGAAAUCAUAUAAGAACUUGUUAUAAGCGGAUUUAUUGAAGUGUUUCAUCAACGGUGGUGUGUCAGAAUUCCCUUUUCCUUUUGACUCUGCACCGGUAAUUCCACUAUUAUUAGUGAACAAUAAUGGAAAAAUUCCUUCCUAUUUGUUUCAUAUUCAUAGAAAUAGGGGACAUAAUACACAUGGAUAUAGUAAGUCUUGCUUGGGCUACUUUAAUGGUAGUCUUUACAUUUUCCUUUUCACUUGUAGUAUAAGGAAGAAGUGGACUCUAAGAGUACUUUUAAUUGGAUUGAGGAAUCAAACUGUAUCAAUUGUUUUCUAGAUCGUUUUGCAAAGCCUUUUUAACUAUUUUAUUAGUCUUCAUUUCGAAAUUCUUGGAUUCUAGUGGAGUAAUGUAUUCUAUGAAUAAUACCCUUUCAAUCAAAAUCAAACAAACAUUUCAAUAAUUCCCAUGUUCGUAUUUCGAAAGUAAAAGGGAUACGGAUGAUAGGCAAUUUAUUAAAAAAAAAGAAUUCUUCCUAAAUUUUCUAUUUUGAUGAACCAGCUUUUACUAGAGUUAUAUAUGGACAAUGACGGACAAUGAACCCCUCUUUUUUUCUGUAUUUGUUUGUUUUUAUUUCCUUUCUUCUUUAUCGUUACUGUUCAAAGAAAAAAAUUAGUUCUUUUAUUUAAUUAGAUCUUGGCUUAGUGUAGUCACAUAUUGCACACUUACCCCCUGUUUUAUUUAUUAUUUUAGGAAUUUCAUUUAUGCCAUGCUUUAUUGACUCAUUUCAUAUCAUGAAUCAAAGAAAAGAAGUUAAAUUCAAAAUUAGUUCCAUGAAACGAAAGAAUUAGAAAAUUGUA